UACGAAGGGGGCUAGCGUUGUCCGGAUUUACUGGGCGUAAAGGGCGCGUAGGCGGCCAGCACAAGUCAGUUGUGAAAUCUCCGAGCUUAACUCGGAAAGGUCAACUGAUACUGUGCGGCUAGAGUGCGGAAGGGGCAACUGGAAUUCUUGGUGUAGCGGUGAAAUGCGUAGAUAUCAAGAGGAACACCUGCGGCGAAGGCGGGUUGCUGGGCCGACACUGACGCUGAUGCGCGAAAGCUAGGGGAGCGAACGGG
rnacentral:rRNA from 1 species